rnacentral:lncRNA from 1 species
CUUAAACCUUCAAGUUCAUGAACUUGCAAAAAUCAAAAUCCAGAGGUUGAAGACGAAGUGCUUCGCGCGCUUCAAAGGGAAAUUUGAAUUCCCUGGCCAAUCAGAACGCGCCACAUUAACUAUCUGUUACAUUUGAAUUCUCUUUUUUCUAUUUUUAUUUCAUUUUUUUUAUUUUUCUUCUAAAAUUCAUUUUAAUUAUCUCCUUUAAUUUUUUUAUUCCAACUUUUUUCAUAAUUUCAUAAAAACAUUUUCUACCAUAUAUAAUUUUUGCAUAUUUUUUAAAAAU